GAUGAACGCUGGCGGCGUGCCGAAUACAUGCAAGUCGAGCGAACAGACGAGGAGCUUGCUCCUCUGACGUUAGCGGCGGACGGGUGAGUAACACGUGGAUAACCUACCUAUAAGACUGGGAUAACUUCGGGAAACCGGAGCUAAUACCGGAUAAUAUAUUGAACCGCAUGGUUCAAUAGUGAAAGACGGUUUUGCUGUCACUUAUAGAUGGAUCCGCGCCGCAUUAGCUAGUUGGUAAGGUAACGGCUUACCAAGGCAACGAUGCGUAGCCGACCUGAGAGGGUGAUCGGCCACACUGGAACUGAGACACGGUCCAGACUCCUACGGGAGGCAGCAGUAGGGAAUCUUCCGCAAAGGGCGAAAGCCUGACGGAGCAACGCCGCGUGAGUGAUGAAGGUCUUCGGAUCGUAAAACUCUGUUAUUAGGGAAGAACAAAUGUGUAAGUAACUAUGCACGUCUUGACGGUACCUAAUCAGAAAGCCACGGCUAACUACGUG
rnacentral:rRNA from 1 species